GCGGGUGUAGUUCAAUGGUAGAACGUUAGCUUCCCAAGCUAAUAACGGGGGUUCGAUUCUCCUCACCCGCU
rnacentral:tRNA from 1 species